AUCCUGGUGACUCAAAUGGUAAAGAAUCUGCCUGCAAUGCAGGAGACCCAGGUUCAAUCCCUGGAUGGGAAA
rfam:TPA: Bos taurus chromosome 1, whole genome shotgun sequence.